rnacentral:rRNA from 1 species
UACGUAGGGGGCAAGCGUUGUCCGGAUUUAUUGGGCGUAAAGAGCGUGUAGGCGGUUAGGUAGGUCCGUUGUGAAAACUCGAGGCUCAACCUCGAGACGCCGAUGGAAACCAUCUAACUAGAGUCCGGAAGAGGAGAGUGGAAUUUCUGGUGUAGCGGUGAAAUGCGCAGAUAUCGGGAAGAACACCCGUGGCGAAGGCGGCUCUCUGGGACGGUACUGACGCUGAGACGCGAAAGCGUGGGGAGCGAACAGG